UCAUUGCUGAAGAGUCCCAUAAUAGGACGAAAUGGCUGUCCAGUGC
rnacentral:hammerhead_ribozyme from 1 species